UACGUAGGGUGCGAGCGUUGUCCGGAAUUAUUGGGCGUAAAGAGCUUGUAGGCGGUUUGUCGCGUCUGCCGUGAAAAUUCGAGGCUCAACCUCGAACUUGCGGUGGGUACGGGCAGACUAGAGUGUGGUAGGGGAGACUGGAAUUCCUGGUGUAGCGGUGAAAUGCGCAGAUAUCAGGAGGAACACCGGUGGCGAAGGCGCCACUCUGGGCCGAUACUGACGCUGAGGAGCGAAAGCGUGGGGAGCGAACAGG
rnacentral:rRNA from 1 species